rnacentral:rRNA from 1 species
UACAGAGGUCUCAAGCGUUGUUCGGAUUCAUUGGGCGUAAAGGGCGUGUAGGUGGCGCGCUAAGUCGGGUGUGAAAUUUCGGAGCUUAACUCCGAAGCUGCAUUCGAUACUGGCGUGCUUGAGGACUGGAGAGGAGACUGGAAUUCAUGGUGUAGCAGUGAAAUGCGUAGAGAUCAUGAGGAAGACCAGUGGCGAAGGCGGGUCUCUGGACAGUACCUGACACUGAGACACGAAGGCCAGGGGAGCAAACGGG